rnacentral:rRNA from 1 species
CCUACGGGAGGCAGCAGUGGAGAAUAUUGCACAAUGGGCGCAAGCCUGAUGCAGCCAUGCCGCGUGUGUGAAGAAGGCCUUCGGGUUGUAAAGCACUUUCAGCGGGGAGGAAGGCGUUAAGGUUAGUAACCUUGGCGAUUGACGUUACCCGCAGAAGAAGCACCGGCUAACUCCGUGCCAGCAGCCGCGGUAAUACGGAGGGUGCAAGCGUUAAUCGGAAUUACUGGGCGUAAAGCGCACGCAGGCGGUCUGUCAAGUCGGAUGUGAAAUCCCCGGGCUCAACCUGGGAACUGCAUUCGAAACUGGCAGGCUAGAGUCUUGUAGAGGGGGGUAGAUUUCCAGGUGUAGCGGUGAAAUGCGUAGAGAUCUGGAGGGAUACCGGUGGCGAAGGCGGCCCCCUGGACAAAGACUGACGCUCAGGUGCGAGAGCGUGGGGAGCAAACAGGAUUAGAUACCCCUGUAGUC